CCUACGGGCGGCAGCAGUGGGGGAUAUUGCACAAUGGGGGAAACCCUGAUGCAGCGACGCCGCGUGGGUGAAGAAGCGCCUCGGCGCGUAAAGCCCUGUCAGCAGGGAAGAAAAUGACGGUACCUGAAGAAGAAGCCCCGGCUAACUACGUGCCAGCAGCCGCGGUAAUACGUAGGGGGCAAGCGUUAUCCGGAUUUACUGGGUGUAAAGGGGGCGCAGACGGUCCUGCAAGUCUGGAGUGAAACGCAUGAGCUCAACUCAUGCAUGGCUUUGGAAACUGGAGGACUGGAGAGCAGGAGAGGGCGGUGGAACUCCAUGUGUAGCGGUAAAAUGCGUAGAUAUAUGGAAGAACACCAGUGGCGAAGGCGGCCGCCUGGCCUGUUGCUGACGCUGAGGCACGAAAGCGUGGGGAGCAAAUAGGAUUAGAUACCCCGGUAGUC
rnacentral:rRNA from 1 species